CAGCAGCCGCGGUAAUACGUAGGUGGCAAGCGUUGUCCGGAAUCAUUGGGCGUAAAGCGCGCGCAGGCGGUCCUUUAAGUCUGAUGUGAAAUCUUGCGGCUCAACCGUAAGCGGUCAUUGGAAACUGGGGGACUUGAGUGCAGGAGAGGAAAGCGGAAUUCCAUGUGUAGCGGUGAAAUGCGUAGAGAUAUGGAGGAACACCAGUGGCGAAGGCGGCUUUCUGGCCUGUAACUGACGCUGAGGCGCGAAAGCGGGGGGAGCAAACAGGAUUAGAUACCCUGGUAGUCCACGCCGUAAACGAUGAGUGCUAAGUGUUGGAGGGGUUCCGCCCUUCAGUGCUGCAGCUAACGCAUUAAGCACUCCGCCUGGGGAGUACGGUCGCAAGACUGAAACUUAAAGGAAUUGGCGGG
rnacentral:rRNA from 1 species